AGAGUUUGAUCCUGGCUCAGGACGAACGCUGGCGGCGUGCUUAACACAUGCAAGUCGAACGAGGCCCUACCUUCGGGUAGGUGACCUAGUGGCGAACGGGUGAGUAACACGUGGGCAACCUACCCUCAGCUCUGGGAUAACCCCGGGAAACCGGAGCUAAUACCGGAUAUGACCUGGAACGACAUCGUUCUUGGUGGAAAGUUUUUCGGCUGAGGAUGGGCCCGCGGCCUAUCAGCUUGUUGGUGGGGUAAUGGCCUACCAAGGCGACGACGGGUAGCCGGCCUGAGAGGGCGAACGGCCACACUGGGACUGAGACACGGCCCAGACUCCUACGGGAGGCAGCAGUGGGGAAUAUUGCGCAAUGGGCGAAAGCCUGACGCAGCGACGCCGCGUGAGGGAUGAAGGCCUUCGGGUUGUAAACCUCUUUCAGCAGGGACGAAGCGAAAGUGACGGUACCUGCAGAAGAAGCACCGGCCAACUACGUGCCAGCAGCCGGGGUAAUACGUAGGGUGCAAGCGUUGUCCGGNAUUAUUGGGCGUAAAGAGCUCGUAGGCGGUUUGUCGCGUCGGCUGUGAAACUCGGGGCUCAACCCCGAGCCUGCAGUCGAUACGGGCAAACUAGAGUGUGGUAGGGGAGACUGGAAUUCCUGGUGUAGCGGUGAAAUGCGCAGAUAUCAGGAGGAACACCGGCGGCGAAGGCGGGUCUCUGGGCCAUAACUGACGCUGAGGAGCGAAAGCGUGGGGAGCGAACAGGAUUAGAUACCCUGGUAGUCCACGCCGUAAACGUUGGGCGCUAGGUGUCGGGGACCUUCCACGUCUUCGGUGCCGCAGCUAACGCAUUAAGCGCCCCGCCUGGGGAGUACGGCCGCAAGGCUAAAACUCAAAGGAAUUGACGGGGGCCCGCACAAGCGGCGGAGCAUGUGGCUUAAUUCGACGCAACGCGAAGAACCUUACCUGGGUUUGACAUGCAGGGAAAUCUCAUAGAGAUAUGAGGUCCGCAAGGGUCCUGCACAGGUGGUGCAUGGCUGUCGUCAGCUCGUGUCGUGAGAUGUUGGGUUAAGUCCCGCAACGAGCGCAACCCUCGUUCUAUGUUGCCAGCGGAUAAUGCCGGGGACUCAUAGGAGACUGCCGGGGUCAACUCGGAGGAAGGUGGGGACGACGUCAAGUCAUCAUGCCCCUUAUGUCCAGGGCUGCACACAUGCUACAAUGGCUGGUACAAAGGGCAGCUAAACCGCAAGGUGGAGCGAAUCCCAAAAAGCCAGUCUCAGUUCGGAUUGGGGUCUGCAACUCGACCCCAUGAAGUCGGAGUCGCUAGUAAUCGCAGAUCAGCAACGCUGCGGUAAUACGUUCCCGGGCCUUGCACACACCGCCCGUC
rnacentral:rRNA from 1 species